GCGGGCGUGGCGGAAUGGCAGACGCGCGGGACUUAGGAUCCCGUGGCCGCGAGGCUGUGCAGGUUCAAGUCCUGUCGCCCGCA
rnacentral:tRNA from 1 species